rnacentral:rRNA from 1 species
GGCUGCCUAAUACAUGCAAGUCGAGCGAAUGGAUUAAGAGCUUGCUCUUAUGAAGUUAGCGGCGGACGGGUGAGUAACACGUGGGUAACCUGCCCAUAAGACUGGGAUAACUCCGGGAAACCGGGGCUAAUACCGGAUAACAUUUUGAACCGCAUGGUUCGAAAUUGAAAGGCCGCUUCGGCUGUCACUUAUGGAUGGACCCGCGUCGCAUUAGCUAGUUGGUGAGGUAACGGCUCACCAAGGCAACGAUGCGUAGCCGACCUGAGAGGGUGAUCGGCCACACUGGGACUGAGACACGGCCCACACUCCUACGGGAGGCAGCAGUAGGGAAUCUUCCGCAAUGGACGAAAGUCUGACGGAGCAACGCCGCGUGAGUGAUGAAGGCUUUUGGGUCGUAAAACUCUGUUGUUUUGUAAGUAUAANUGCUCGUUGAAUAUGCUGGCAUCUUUACUGUACC